GGGUUAAAAAGCUCCGUAGUUUGGAGUUCUGCCCAAGGCCACCUGUCCGCCCCAGUGGUGAUUUUGUGGUGGGCCCUGGGCCCUUUCAAGGGGAGUUUAUCUGUACUUUAUUGUGCGGUGCGGGAUCCUUGACUUUUACUUUGAGGAAAUAAGAGUGUUCCAAGCAGGCUCUCGUCGUGCAUAGCUCAGCAUGGAAUAAUAGCAUUGGACCUCGAUUCUAAGCUGUUGGUUGCCAGAAGCGAGGUAAUGAUGAAGAGGGAUAGUUGGGGGCAUUCGUAUUUAACUGUCAGAGGUGAAAUUCUUGGAUUUGUUAAAGACGGACCACUGCGAAAGCAUCUGCCAUGGAUGUUUUCAUUGAUCAAGAACGAAAGUUAGGGGAUCGAAGACGAUCAGAUACCGUCCUAGUCUUAACUAUAAACCAUGCCGGCUAGAGAUCGGAGGUUGUUCGUUUUGUGACACCUUCAGCAUCUUGAGAGAAAUCAAA
rnacentral:rRNA from 1 species